UGACACACCUGUUUCAAAACCUUCACAAGCAAAAUGAAACUCUUUACUGUCCUCCUUUCUGUAACACUUUAUAAUUGUGUUUCAGAGGCGCUAAAAUGUUACGAUUGCAUCGAAGACGACCAAUGUUCCAAAGAUUUGGACGAACUUAGGCAUACUUGUGGUGAGGAACAAAAAUAUUGUGUCAGUGGAUCGAAAUAUGAGUACGAUGUUGUGAUAAAGUUCAGAGAAUGUAUUUACGCAGCCAACGAUGAUGAUAUGAAUGAAUAUUGCCAAGAUAUUAUUGCUGAUGAAGGAGAGUGUGACUGGUGUCAGGAAAAUUAUUGUAACCUAAAAACCACUUGGAAAGAAUAACAAUAAAAAAAUAUAUAGCAACGGAAAAAAAUUGUAUUCUCUCUGAAAAAUAUAUAGUUCAUGCGAAAAAAUGGUUUCCUUCGUUAAACUGACACAUAAUUAUUACA